GGUAACCUGCCUGGUAGCGGGGGAUAACUAUUGGAAACGAUAGCUAAUACCGCAUAACAGUAGAUGUUGCAUGACAUUUGCUUAAAAGGUGCAAUUGCAUCACUACCAGAUGGACCUGCGUUGUAUUAGCCAGUUGGUGGGGUAACGGCUCACCAAGGCGACGAUACAUAGCCGACCUGAGAGGGUGAUCGGCCACACUGGGACUGAGACACGGCCCAGACUCCUACGGGAGGCAGCAGUAGGGAAUCUUCGGCAAUGGACGGAAGUCUGACCGAGCAACGCCGCGUGAGUGACGAAGGUUUUUGGAUCGUAAAGCUCUGUUGUAAGAGAAGAACGAGUGUGAGAGUGGAAAGUUCACACUGUGACGGUAUCUUACCCAGAAAGGGACGGCUAACUACGUGCCAGCAGCCCGCCGGUAAUACGUAGGUCCCGAGCGCUUGUCCCGGAUUUACUUGGGCGUAAAGCGAGCGCAGGCGGUUAGAUAAGUCUGAAGUUAAAGGCUGUGGCUUAACCAUAGUACGCUUUGGAAACUGUUUAACUUGAGUGCAAGAGGGGAGAGUGGAAUUCCAUGUGUAGCGGUGAAAUGCGUAGAUAUAUGGAGGAACACCGGUGGCGAAAGCGGCUCUCUGGCUUGUAACUGACGCUGAGGCUCGAAAGCGUGGGGAGCAAACAGGAUUAGAUAGCCUGGUAGUCCACGCCGUAAACGAUGA
rnacentral:rRNA from 1 species